rnacentral:lncRNA from 1 species
CCGGUCCCAUGUGUCUAAUUGCAGCUGCCGAGGGAUAAGUAAGCAGCAGGAUUUACAUCAUGGAAGUGUGAUGAGAAAGUAGGAAAAUCUUGUCAGGCAAAAGUUUUUAAAAUAGAUUUCAGUCAUGUAUGUGAUUAAUGGAAAUGGGGUGAGCAGUAUGUGGAACAGGUCUGACACUGGACCUUUGUGUCUUACAUGGACGCCUGGAUGUAAACCAGCUGUCAUGCUCCUGUGUUAUCCCUUCCCCAGGUCUCCAACACAGGCAUGUCCCCUUCUGAUUCUCAGUGUUCCCACUAUGCCUGGCUUCCACCUGCCUGAGCUUUCUUUGAAGCUUAGCACAAUGGAAGUGGAAUAUUCAGCCUGUGGUGCUCCUUCAGAACAGCUGACUGAGUCCUUCCUGGUUUGAUAUUUGUCAGCCUACACUUGAAGUCUCCCAUUACUGCUGUAUUUCCUGACCUCACUGCCGUUUUGAUCUCCUUCAGCUUAUUGAAUUCAAGGCAUUUUAUUGUCCUUGGUCAGUAACAUUAUCUACUGAACCUGUAUCAUUCAUAUUUAAACCUGGGAUUUCAAUCUGUAUAGACGCUGUAUUACACAUAGAGUUGGUUAGCUUACAAAUUCAGCAUGAUGCUGAGCUUUCAGAAGGGCAGAUCUCUGUUCUGCCACUGGGACGUUUCAUCUUUACUGUGUAUUUUGUAUCUUGAUAUUAGCAUCCCACGGUCUUUCUCCAAAAUUCCACUAUGCCUGGUGUAGCAAUGUCUGAAUGUUGAUUAGGCAUUCUGGUUCCUCAUCUUAUUUCAUAGAUUUCAAACACUGUGUAGAAGUAUGUUUCUCUUUUCUUCCUUUUUUGGUGUCUCGUAUGAAAAACGAUAUAUUUGCUUUCAAUUCUCUGCUGGAUUAUUUACAUUUUCCGAAUUGUGCUUUCUUUGAGAAUUUAGAGCUUGUCCAUUUAUUUUUUCCCUCAUAAGGGUAACUCCUGCUGAAUCUGGGCUUUUUCACACCUGUCGUAUUUUCCAACUACUGAGUUUUUCCAUCACGUAAAGGAGUAUUUUCAUUUCAGAAUUCUAUCUUGGACCUUUAUUUUGCUAAAUAUGUCUGAGAAUGCUUUCAAUGUUCUCCAAAGCCAAGCAGUAUCAUCAUGACAGAGAGUUAGAUAUGCUGGAUGUUUUCAAAUCAGCUGGACUUGAUGAAAUUCCUCCUAUGGGACCAGGAGAAGCGUCUGAAGCAAUGCCAGAAGUGUUAGUUGUUAUCUUUGAGGAAUCAUGGAGUACAGUGACAAAUG